rnacentral:rRNA from 1 species
AGAGUUUGAUCCUGGCUCAGGAUGAACGCUAGCGGGAGGCCUAACACAUGCAAGCCGAGCGGUAGGGAUUCUUCGGAAUCCUGAGAGCGGCGCACGGGUGCGGAACACGUGUGCAACCUGCCUUUAUCUGGGGGAUAGACCUUUCGAAAGGAAGAUUAAUACCCCAUAAUAUAUUGAUUGGCAUCAAUUAAUAUUGAAAACUCCGGUGGAUAGAGAUGGGCACGCGCAAGAUUAGAUAGUUGGUGAGGUAACGGCUCACCAAGUCAAUGAUCUUUAGGGGGCCUGAGAGGGUGAUCCCCCACACUGGUACUGAGACACGGACCAGACUCCUACGGGAGGCAGCAGUGAGGAAUAUUGGACAAUGGGGUGAGAGCCUGAUCCAGCCAUCCCGCGUGAAGGACGACGGCCCUAUGGGUUGUAAACUUCUUUUGUAUAGGGAUAAACCUAGAUACGUGUAUCUAGCUGAAGGUACUAUACGAAUAAGCACCGGCUAACUCCGUG